AGAUAAGCACGGGAUCCUGCACGGAUAAGCACGGAUCCUACACAGAUAAGCACGGAUCCUGCACAGAUAAGCACGGGAUCCUGCACGGAUAAGCACAGAUCCUGCACGGAUAAGCACGGGAUCCUGCACGGAUAAGCACGGAUCCUGCACGGAUAAGCACGGGAUCCUGCACGGAUAAGCACAGAUCCUGCACGGAUAAGCACGGGAUCCUGGCUUUCAGCCCCUUUGGGCAGAUAGACGCCCAGCCGUGGAAUUGCUGGGUCACUGGAAGCUCCCAGGGUAAUUUUCUGAAGACCUGCCAAACCACCUCCCACGACAGCCGCUCCGUUUCACUGUCUCACCAGCUGAGCAGGGGGCUCUGGUCUCCCCACAUCGUAGCCAGCACCUGGACCACACGAACUUCCUACGGUUCUCCGAGAAGUAGCUGUGGGUCCUGUUUUCACUACGACCCUGGAUCACAUGUCUCAUUCCAACCCUCCGUUCAUGGACGAUCAGCUUCUCGCGAGUGGGGAGGCCCGGAGCACCUGCGCUGGCAGGUAAGACGGGGGCGCCCCUCCUAAAGCACCGGGCCCUCCAGCCGCGGCUCUAAGGAGGUGCCCUCAGGCUUGCCCGAGUGCGUUUCCACCGCUUCCUCGUCCAGCGCCAGCUCACGGUGCCCGCCGAUUUCGCCAGGAGCCACCCGAUGGGUGCCAGCACCAGGUGCAAGUGGUGGGCGCAGUGCGUGU